GGUAGAGCACUGUUUCGGCUAGGGGGCCAUCCCGGCUUACCAACCCGAUGCAAACUGCGAAUACCGGAGAAUGUUAUCACGGGAGACACACGGCGGGUGCUAACGUCCGUCGUGAAGAGGGAAACAACCCAGACCGCCAGCUAAGGUCCCAAAGUCAUGGUUAAGUGGGAAACGAUGUGGGAAGGCCCAGACAGCCAGGAUGUUGGCUUAGAAGCAGCCAUCAUUUAAAGAAAGCGUAAUAGCUCACUGGUCGAGUCGGCCUGCGCGGAAGAUGUAACGGGGCUAAACCAUGCACCGAAGCUGCGGCAGCGACACUGUGUGUUGUUGGGUAGGGGAGCGUUCUGUAAGCCUGUGAAGGUGUGUCGUGAGGCAUGCUGGAGGUAUCAGAAGUGCGAAUGCUGA
rnacentral:rRNA from 1 species